GAGUUUGAUCAUGGUUCAGGACUAACGCUGGCGGCGUGCCUAACACAUGCAAGUCGAACGAGGUAGCAAUACCUAGUGGCAGACGGGUGAGUAACACGUGGUCAACCUUCCAUCCAGUGGGGGAUAACUAGCCGAAAGGUUAGCUAAUACCGCAUGCGAUCUCCGAGGGGCAUCCCUUGAAGAUGAAAGGAGCAAUCCGCUGGAUGACGGGACCGCGUCCCAUUAGCUCGUUGGUGAGGUAACGGCUCACCAAGGCUUCGAUGGGUAGCUGGUUUGAGAGAGCGACCAGCCACACUGGGACUGAGACACGGCCCAGACUCCUACGGGAGGCAGCAGUGAGGAAUUUUCCGCAAUGGGCGAAAGCCUGACGGAGCGACGCCGCGUGUGGGAAGAAGGCCUUCGGGUCGUAAACCACUGUCGAAGGGGAAGAUAAUGACGGUACCCUUGGAGGAAGCCCCGGCUAACUACGUGCCAGCAGCCGCGGUAAGACGUA
rnacentral:rRNA from 1 species